AGGCCAAUUAUUUUGCUUAUCUGCAUGUGUUUCCAUAGAAAUUUAGAAAUGUCUGGCAAUAGCGAUGCCAUUUUAUGAGGCUUAAGGUCAACUGAGAUAAUUACUCUUCCUAAAAUUGCUCCAUUA
rnacentral:snoRNA from 1 species